UUUCCGUAGGUGAACCUGCGGAAGGAUCAUUCAUAAUAAAGUGUUUUACGGCACUUUUUAAAAAUCCAUAUCCACCUUGUGUGCAAUGUUAGAUCUCGUCAAUCUUGGCGAGAUUUUUAUACAUCAACUCAUUCUUUAACUAAUUUGUCUGAAAAAUAUUAUGAAUACUUAAUUCAAAAUACAACUUUCAACAACGGAUCUCUUGGCUCUC
rnacentral:misc_RNA from 1 species